UUGAACGCUGGCGGAAUGCUUUACGCAUGCAAGUCGAACGGCAGCACGGGGGCAACCCUGGUGGCGAGUGGCGAACGGGUGAGUAACAUAUCGGAACGUGCCCAGUAGUGGGGGAUAGCCCGGCGAAAGCCGGAUUAAUACCGCAUACGACCUACGGGUGAAAGGGGGGGAUCGCAAGACCUCUCGCUAUUGGAGCGGCCGAUAUCAGAUUAGGUAGUUGGUGGGGUAAAGGCCCACCAAGCCGACGAUCUGUAGCUGGUCUGAGAGGACGACCAGCCACACUGGGACUGAGACACGGCCCAGACUCCUACGGGAGGCAGCAGUGGGGAAUUUUGGACAAUGGGCGCAAGCCUGAUCCAGCCAUGCCGCGUGCGGGAAGAAGGCCUUCGGGUUGUAAACCGCUUUUGUCAGGGAAGAAAUCUCUUGGGCUAAUACCUCGGGGGGAUGACGGUACCUGAAGAAUAAGCACCGGCUAACUACGU
rnacentral:rRNA from 1 species